rnacentral:rRNA from 1 species
AACGAACGCUGGCGGCAGGCUUAACACAUGCAAGUCGAACGCACCUUUCGGGGUGAGUGGCAGACGGGUGAGUAACGCGUGGGAAUCUACCCUUCUCUACGGGAUAGCUCCGGGAAACUGGAAUUAAUACCGUAUACGUCCUGAGUGAGAAAGAUUUAUCGGGGAAGGAUGAGCCCGCGUUGGAUUAGCUAGUUGGUUGGGUAAAGGCCUACCAAGGCGACGAUCCAUAGCUGGUCUAAGAGGAUGAUCAGCCACAUUGGGACUGAGACACGGCCCAAACUCCUACGGGAGGCAGCAGUGGGGAAUAUUGGACAAUGGGCGCAAGCCUGAUCCAGCCAUGACGCGUGAGUGAUGAAGGCCCUAGGGUUGUAAAGCUCUUUCAGUGGGGACGAUAAUGACGGUACCCACAGAAGAAGCCCCGGCUAACUUCGUG